rnacentral:lncRNA from 1 species
AUGGGGGCUUCUUUUGCACUCCCACCGAAUAGAUAGGAACUUUACUUUGCACUCCCAUCAAAUAGGUGGAGGUUUCCUUUGUACUCCCACCAAAUAUGUAGGGACUUUGCUUUGCACUCCCACCGAAUAGGUGGGAGCUUCCUUUGCAAGGAGGAUCGGACUGAGGUUGGAGAUCAAUUUGGUGAAUAUAAAGAUUCAAAAAAGGAAGGAGG